rnacentral:tRNA from 1 species
AAAAUCCGUCGACUUUAGAAAUCGUGAGGGUUCAAGUCCCUCUAUCCCCCCAAAAAGACCGAUUUGACUAUUUCUCCUACCCUCUCUUUUUUUUAGUGGUUCAAAAUUCGUUCUCUUUCUCAUUCAUUCUACCUUUUUACAAACGUAUCAGAGCAGAAUUUUUUUUUCUUUUAUCACAAUCACAAGUGGUGUGGUAUAUAUGAUAUACGUACAAAUGAACAUCUUUGAACAAAGAAUCCCGAUUCACAAUUCAUAUCAUUGCUCAUACUGAAACUUAUAAAUUAUUCUAUUCAAGAAAUCGAAUUCCACGCUCAAGACUUUUAAUACUUUUUUAUCUUUUUUAAUUGACAUAGACCCCAGUCAUCUAGUAAAAUGAGGAUGAUGCGCCGGUAAUGGUCGGGAUAGCUCAGCUGGUAGAGCAGAGGACUGAAAAUCCUCG